rnacentral:rRNA from 1 species
CCUACGGGAGGCAGCAGUAGGGAAUCUUGCACAAUGGGCGAAAGCCUGAUGCAGCAACGCCGCGUGGGUGAAGAAGGCCUUCGGAUUGUAAAACACUGUUGUUAGGGAAGAAAGUGCGUGAGAGUAAAUGCUUAUGUUUCGACGGUACCGACACAGCAAGCACCGGCUAACUACGUGCCAGCAGCCGCGGUAAUACGGAGGUGGCAAGCGUUAUACGGAUUUAAUGGGCGUAAAGGGAACGCAGGCGGUCUAUUGAGUCUGAUGUGAAAGCCUUCGGCUUAACCGGUGUAGUGCAUUUGAUACUGGGAGGCUGGAGUGCAGGAGAGGGGAGUGGAACUCCAGGUGUAGCGGUGAAAUGCGUAGAGAUAUGGAAGAACACCGGUGGCGAAGGCGGCACUCUGGACAAUAACUGACGCUGAGGUGCGAAAGCGUGGGUAGCAAACAGGAUUAGAUACCCCUGUAGUC